UACGUAGGGACCGAGCGUUGUCCGGAAUCAUUGGGCGUAAAGAGCGUGUAGGCGGCCCCUUAAGUCCUGCGUGAAAUCCUGCGGCUCAACCGCAGACGGUCGUGGGAAACUGGAGGGCUAGAGUGCAGAAGAGAAAAGCGGAAUUCCACGUGUAGCGGUGAAAUGCGUAGAGAUGUGGAGGAACACCAGUGGCGAAGGCGGCUUUUUGGUCUGUAACUGACGCUGAGGCGCGAAAGCGUGGGGAGCAAACAGG
rnacentral:rRNA from 1 species